rnacentral:lncRNA from 1 species
UUGUACAUAAUUUUUAUUUUUCUUUAUAUAUAUUUAAGAGAUACCGAUAUUUGAUUGGGGAGAAAGGGGGUUCCAACAUUGUAAUGUGCAUUAAUAUUCCUUUGUAGGCUAAUGACAUUACAUAUGGAUUUGUAGUGAAUUAGAGUUAAUGAUAUUGGUUAGAAAUUUCACACAAAUACCAAGGGAAAAAUAGAAUUUUCAAUGGCAAGGUAUUUAAGCUCAUUUUUC